AUUUAGAUAGCUUAAUUGGAGAGCACAAUAUUGAAGAUAUUGGGGUGAUUAAUAUAAUCUUUAAAUA
rnacentral:tRNA from 1 species